UUUCUGAAAGCCGAACAACUGCGGAAGCAUUUGCCAAGGAUGUUUUCAUUAAUCAAGAACGAAAGUUGGGGGCUCGAAGACGAUCAGAUACCGUCCUAGUCUCAACCAUAAACGAUGCCGAGCAGGGAUCGGCGGAUGUUGCUUAUAGGACACCGCCGGCACCUUAUGAGAAAUCAAAGUCUUUGGGUUCCGGGGGGGGGGGGUAUGGUCGCAAGGCUGAAACUUAAAGGAAUUGAUGGAAGGGCACCACCAGGCAGAUCGGAAGAGGGUCGUGAG